GACAGAGGGUGCAAACGUUGUUCGGAAUUCCUGGGCGUAAAGCGUGUGUAGGCGGCCACGUAAGUCGGAUGUGAAAGCCCCAGGCUCAACCUGGGAAGUGCACUCGAUACUGCGUGGCUUGAGUAUCGGAGAGGUUGGUGGAAUUCUCGGUGUAGAGGUGAAAUUCGUAGAUAUCGAGAGGAACACCGGUGGCGAAGGCGGCCAACUGGACGAAUACUGACGCUGAGACACGAAAGCGUGGGGAGCAAACAGG
rnacentral:rRNA from 1 species